rnacentral:rRNA from 1 species
UACGAAGGGGGCUAGCGUUGUUCGGAAUCACUGGGCGUAAAGCGCACGUAGGCGGAUCGUUAAGUCGGGGGUGAAAUCCCAGAGCUCAACUCUGGAACUGCCUUCGAUACUGGCGAUCUUUGAGUCCGGGAGAGGUGAGUGGAACUCCGAGUGUAGAGGUGAAAUUCGUAGAUAUUCGGAAGAACACCAGUGGCGAAGGCGGCUCACUGGCCCGGUACUGACGCUGAGGUGCGAAAGCGUGGGGAGCAAACAGG